rnacentral:rRNA from 1 species
UACGUAGGGUGCAAGCGUUGUCCGGAAUUAUUGGGCGUAAAGAGCUCGUAGGCGGCUCGUCGCGUCGACCGUGAAAACCCGCGGCUUAACUGCGGGCUUGCGGUUGAUACGGGCGGGCUAGAGUUCGGUAGGGGAGACUGGAAUUCCUGGUGUAGCGGUGAAAUGGGCAGAUAUCAGGAGGAACACCGGUGGCGAAGGCGGGUCUCUGGGCCGAUACUGACGCUGAGGAGCGAAAGCGUGGGGAGCGAACAGG